AGGAUGAACGCUGGCGGUCUGCUUAACACAUGCAAGUCGAACGGAGUAGAAAUACUUAGUGGCGGACGGGUGAGUAACGCGUGAGAAUCUACCUUCAGGACGGAGACAACAGUUGGAAACGACUGCUAACCCCCGAUGUACUGAAAAGGCAAAUAUUUAUAGCCUGAAGAAGAGCUCGCGUCCGAUUAGCUAGUUGGAGAGGUAAAAGCUCACCAAGGCGACGAUCGGUAGCUGGUCUGAGAGGACGAUCAGCCACACUGGGACUGAGACACGGCCCAGACUCCUACGGGAGGCAGCAGUGGGGAAUUUCCGCAAUGGGCGAAAGCCUGACGGAGCAAGACCGCGUGGGGGAAGAAGGCUCUUGGGUUGUAAACCCCUUUUCUCUGGGAAGAACGCAAUGACGGUACCAGAGGAAUCAGCAUCGGCUAACUACGUGCCAGCAGCCGC
rnacentral:rRNA from 1 species